rnacentral:lncRNA from 1 species
ACAUAUUGAAAACAAUUUGGACAAAUCUACUAUCUCAUCUUAAGACUAACAACAACUAGCCACAGAAAAGACAGCAUUGCAGUUCAAGACAAAUUCCAGAUUUCAAAGCUCGAUUUGAAAAAAGGAAAGGCAGGACAAAUGAUGACCAAAUCGCACAUAUAAUAUGUCAAUGGAAAGUUUGAGAAGCCUAUUACAAAUCUCUAGAAGACAUUAAGUCCUAAUAACAUCAUCUUCCAGCUCGUUCCAGUUAAAACAAAAAAUUGCAGUAGGUCAAAACAGCAAAUCAACCUAAAAAACUACUGCAGAAUUGAUAGACUUUGUAGGUGUUUUUCGAUGACCGGAUGAUGUCUAUUCAGGGCGUGCGACAUAUCAAAUCGAAGCUCUACAAGUGUAUUUUUUGUGUCUAGAAGGGCUC